rnacentral:rRNA from 1 species
CAGUAGCCACGGGAAUACGUAGGUGGCAAGCGUUGUCCGGAAUUAUUGGGCGUAAAGGGCUCGCAGGCGGUUUCUUAAGUCUGAUGUGAAAGCCCCCGGCUCAACCGGGGAGGGUCAUUGGAAACUGGGAAACUUGAGUGCAGAAGAGGAGAGUGGAAUUCCACGUGUAGCGGUGAAAUGCGUAGAGAUGUGGAGGAACACCAGUGGCGAAGGCGACUCUCUGGUCUGUAACUGACGCUGAGGAGCGAAAGCGUGGGGAGCGAACAGGAUUAGAGACCCCAGUAGUCCCUGUCUCUAUACC